UUGAACGCUGGCGGCAGGCCUAACACAUGCCAGUCGAGCGGAUGAAGGGAUCUUUCUCCUGGAUUCAGCGGCGGACGGGUGAGUAAUGCCUCGGAAUCUGCCUGGUAGUGGGGGAUAACGUCCGUAAACGGGCGCUAAUACCGCCUACGUCCUGAGGGAGGAAGUGGGGGAUGUUCGGGCCUCAUGCUAUCAGAUGAGCCUGGGUCGGGUUGGCUAGGUGGUGGGGUAAGGGCCUACCAAGGCGACGGUCCGUAACUGGUCCGAGGGGAUGAUCAGUCACUGUGAAGCUGAGAAGCGAUCCAGGCUCCUACGGGAGGCACCGGCGGGGAAGAUUGGCCACUGUGCGGAAGCCUGAACAGCCAUGCGGCGUGUGUGAAGAAGGUCCUCGGAGUGGAAAGCACUUUAAGUUGGGGGGAAGCGCAGUAAGUUAAUACCUUGCGGUAUUGACGGUACCGGGAGAAUAAGCACCGGCUAACUUCGUG
rnacentral:rRNA from 1 species